rnacentral:rRNA from 1 species
UACGGGAGGCAGCAGUAGGGAAUCUUCGGCAAUGGACGGAAGUCUGACCGAGCAACGCCGCGUGAGUGAAGAAGGUUUUCGGAUCGUAAAGCUCUGUUGUAAGAGAAGAACGAGUGUGAGAGUGGAAAGUUCACACUGUGACGGUAUCUUACCAGAAAGGGACGGCUAACUACGUGCCAGCAGCCGCGGUAAUACGUAGGUCCCGAGCGUUGUCCGGAUUUAUUGGGCGUAAAGGGCUCGUAGGUGGUUGAUCGCGUCGGAAGUGUAAUCUUGGGGCUUAACCCUGAGCGUGCUUUCGAUACGGGUUGACUUGAGGAAGGUAGGGGAGAAUGGAAUUCCUGGUGUAGCGGUGGAAUGCGCAGAUAUCAGGAGGAACACCGAUGGCGAAGGCAGUUCUCUGGGCCGUUACUGACGCUGAGGAGCGAAAGCGUGGGGAGCGAACAGGAUUAGAUACCCUGGUAG